rnacentral:piRNA from 1 species
AAAUGGUGGACGAGUACUGUGGAUGUGA